rnacentral:rRNA from 1 species
AGAGUUUGAUCCUGGCUCAGGAUGAACGCUAGCGGCAGGCUUAACACAUGCAAGUCGAGGGGUAACGAUGGUGCUUGCACCAGGCGACGACCGGCGCACGGGUGAGUAACGCGUAUGCAACCUUCCUUUGACAGGGGGAUAGCCCGGAGAAAUCCGGAUUAAUACCCCAUAACACCGCAAUAUCGCAUGGUAUAGCGGUUAAAGCUCCGGCGGUCAAAGAUGGGCAUGCGUGACAUUAGAUAGUUGGUAAGGUAACGGCUUACCAAGUCUACGAUGUCUAGGGGGUCUGAGAGGAUGGUCCCCCACACUGGUACUGAGACACGGACCAGACUCCUACGGGAGGCAGCAGUGAGGAAUAUUGGUCAAUGGGCGCAAGCCUGAACCAGCCAUGCCGCGUGCAGGAUGACUGCCCUAUGGGUUGUAAACUGCUUUUAUAUACCAGGAAACUCAGCUACGUGUAGUUGACUGACGGUAGUAUAUGAAUAAGCAUCGGCUAACUCCGUGCCAGCAGCCGCGGUAAUACGGAGGAUGCAAGCGUUAUCCGGAUUUAUUGGGCUUAAAGGGUGCGUAGGCGGAAAUAUAAGUCAGUGGUGAAAUCCCGCAGCUCAACUGUGGAACUGCCAUUGAUACUGUAUUUCUUGAGUGUAAUUGAGGUUGGCGGAAUGUGUAAUGUAGCGGUGAAAUGCUUAGAUAUUACGCAGAACUCCGAUUGCGUAGGCAGCUGACUAAAUUACUACUGACGCUGAGGCACGAAAGCGUGGGGAGCGAACAGGAUUAGAUACCCUGGUAGUCCACGCCGUAAACGAUGAUCACUCGUUGUUGGCGAUACACAGUCAGCGACCAAGCGAAAGCAUUAAGUGAUCCACCUGGGGAGUACGGUCGCAAGAUUGAAACUCAAAGGAAUUGACGGGGGCCCGCACAAGCGGUGGAACAUGUGGUUUAAUUCGAUGAUACGCGAGGAACCUUACCUGGGCUUAAAUGUAGGACGACGGAUGGGGAAACCUAUCUUUCUUCGGACGGACUACAAGGUGCUGCAUGGUUGUCGUCAGCUCGUGCCGUGAGGUGUCGGGUUAAGUCUCAUAACGAGCGCAACCCUUAUCGUUAGUUACCAGCGAGUAAUGUCGGGGACUCUAACGAAACUGCCGGUGUAAACCGUGAGGAAGGUGGGGAUGACGUCAAAUCAGCACGGCCCUUAUGUCCAGGGCUACACACGUGUUACAAUGGCCGAUACAAAGGGCAGCUACCGGGCGACCGGAUGCUAAUCUCGAAAAUCGGUCUUAGUUCGGAUCGGAGUCUGCAACUCGACUCCGUGAAGGUGGAAUCGCUAGUAAUCGCGCAUCAGCAAUGGCGCGGUGAAUACGUUCCCGGGCCUUGUACACACCGCCCGUCAAGCCAUGGAAGCUGGGGGUACCUAAAGUCUGUAACCGCAAGGAGCGGCCUAGGGUAAAACUGGUGACUGGGGCUAAGUCGUAACAAGGUA